AACGAACGCUGGCGGCAUGCCUAACACAUGCAAGUCGAACGAGACCUUCGGGUCUAGUGGCGCACGGGUGCGUAACGCGUGGGAACCUGCCCUUAGGUUCGGAAUAACUCCCCGAAAGGGGUGCUAAUACCGGUUAAUGUCUUCGGACCAAAGAUUUAUCGCCUUUGGAUGGGCCCGCGUUCGAUUAGCUAGUUGGUAGGGUAAAAGCCUACCAAGGCGACGAUCCAUAGCUGGUCUGAGAGGAUGAUCAGCCACGCUGGGACUGAGACACGGCCCAGACUCCUACGGGAGGCAGCAGUGGGGAAUAUUGGACAAUGGGCGAAAGCCUGAUCCAGCAAUGCCGCGUGAGUGAUGAAGGCCUUAGGGUUGUAAAGCUCUUUUACCCGGGAUGAUAAUGACAGUACCGGGAGAAUAAGCUCCGGCUAACUCCGUG
rnacentral:rRNA from 1 species